CAAUAGCGUAUAUUAAAGUUGUUGCAGUUAAAAAGCUCGUAGUUGGAUUUCUGGUGGGAGCGAUCGGUCUGGCGCUUAGCGCGAGUACUUGCAUCGUCUCCGGCCAUCCUUGGGGAGAGUCUGUCUGGCAUUAGGUUGUCGGGCAGAGGAUCCUCAUCGUUUACUGUGAAAAAAUUAGAGUGUUCAAAGCAGGCUUAUGCCGUUGAAUAUAUUAGCAUGGAAUAAUAAGAUAGGACUUUGGUACUAUUUUGUUGGUUUGCGCACCAAAGUAAUGAUUAAUAGGGACAGUUGGGGGUAUUCGUAUUCCGUUGUCAGAGGUGAAAUUCUUGGAUUUACGGAAGACGAACUACUGCGAAAGCAUUUACCGAGGAUGUUUUCAUUAA
rnacentral:rRNA from 1 species